AGUCCCGGCUAGGGACACAGCUCUUAGACUUUGAGCUAGACAACCAGGAGGACAGGAGGACCUAGUAUCCUGCCUCCAUCAGCCCAUCAUUUAUGCAAAUGCUACUUAGUUGCCGUCUAGAUGCAGGAUGCUGUCUGCCCUGUUAAAUGCUGUGUGAACCCAGAUGGAAGCUGAGCAGACAUCACACUCACAGGUUUCAGGCUGGCCUUGAACUUACAGGGAUUCACCUGCCUCUGCCUCCCAGAUGCUGAGAUUAAAGGCAUGUGCCAUCACCACCUGAACAACAGCAGCUUUCUAAGGAACCAGUAAGGCACUACAGACUUUUCAUAUAACAUCACCUUCAUUCUCUCACAACUAAUUCUACAAAACAGAUGUUAUACGACCUCGUUCGCUGAAGUCAAAGAUGCAGAGGGGCCAAGGUGUGGGCUCCGGACCUCACACCAGUGUGGCAGAUUCAACAAGCCCAGAAUAAGCCUCUUCCUUUGCUCACAAUAAGAUUAAGCCAACUGCCUCUUCAUUCCUCAGUCACACUCCUCCUCUGACCCUGCUCCAGGAGGCUCAUCUUGUCAGACUUCACACUGAAUGAGCGCUGAGGAUGCUGUAGAGUAUGAGCUGUGUGCAGGUUUCAAAAGCAAUUUGUGCCCCUGAAACAAGCCAACCAGCAGAGAAGGAACAAAAGAAACAUGGUGUCUUCUACCUCCAGCCUUGAAGCUUCCAGACCUCCCUACACGAACCCCCCCCCCACACCCACUCCCCGAAAUGAUGUCCCAGUGAAGAGCCAGGCUCUUAUCCUUCCAUCCAUGCCUCUCAGGCGUCUGCUUCAUUUAGCAUGUAUGUGCAUUUUACCAGGUUAAUGCAACACAGACUAUUUCCUAGUAGCUGUGAAGCCCAGUGUAGCCUCUGCUGCCGGACACAUGGUUUGUCUCCAGUCUUUCCCUUCCCAGCAAAGCAGCCUUGACUCAUCUCCUUUCUCUAUGACAGAGCCCUUUAGAAUGUACUCACUGGGCCAACGAUGCAGUUUCAAUUUGGGUUUUUAAUGGAAGUGGGUGGCUAGGUAAGUGGGUUGAAUGACUGACUGAUUCUGAAUAGCUCUGAAUUUAUUGAGCUGCUUCCAGGAAGGUCCAGGUGACCUGGGUAGCAGAAAGGACACCCAUUCCUGUUUGAUGGUGUUUUUUUUCUAUCUAUCAUCCUUCCUGUCUUUCCUUCUUUAUUUCUUUCUGGGUGAGACAGGGUCUUAUAAUACAGUUUCAGCCAGCCUGGAACUCAUUAUGUAAACCAGGCUGGUCUCCAGCUCAUGGAGAUGAGCCUGCCUUUGCUUCCCAUGUACUGAAAUUAAAGCCCAGCUUGUUUUUUUCUCUUUACCACACUGGGGAUUCAACCCAAGGCUAGUAAGCACCCUGGCACUGAGUAUAUUCUGGACCUCUUCUUAUUUUAAUGUUGAUGUAGGGUCCUGCUAAGUUUCCCAGACUGACCUUCAACUCACUAUGCAAGUCCAGGCAGGCCUUGAACUCACGAUCCUCCUGGUUCAGCUUCCUGAGCUGAUGAGUGGCAGGCACCAUUAGUCUCAUUCGGAAGGAUGUGCUUCAUCCUUGGUGAAAGCGCUCAUCUCUUGUCUUGGCUGGCUAGAAUUUCCAGGGUGAAGAAAGGAGGAUUAGAAAAGUUCAAGGUCACCCUCCCCUACAUAGAGAGUUCAAGGCCAGGCUGGGCCACAUGAGAAAAACCAAAAGAACAGAUGGUGUUAGCAGGAGGUAGGGAAGGAGUAGGGAGGUCCAGCCCUGGGUGGGGCAGAGCCCCUGCUAAAGACAAGGGACAUUCCUUAGUGUCAACUUUCCCUUAGGAUGGAGAGGAGGGGUUGCUAGCUCGUCACACCCCACAGCCCUGGAGGACAGGAGCUUACUGUUGAGUUAGUGGGGCAGAGUCGGGGAGAGGCUGUCAUUUCGGCAGCCCUGGUACAUGGAGCCACUAGCAGGCUUCUUCGUCUCAUGUCUUCAUCCGCACCACCUCCUAGCAGCCUGCCCUCCCCAACUUGUCCACUUAAAGCCUGGGCCAGUGAGAUGACUCUGCAGAUAAAGGUAUUGUCACCCAGCCUGAGGACCUGAGUUCAAUUUCUGGGUUCCAUAUGAUGGAAGGAGAGAACUGAGUCCCUUAACUUGAUCUCUAACCUGCACAUGUGGAUUGUGAAUGGGCUUAUGUGCCCACACACCCUCUCUCUCACACAAUAAACAUAAGUAAUAAAUGUAUACAUGCAUAUACACAUACAUAAUACACACAUACAUACAUGCUUGAAUGCAUACAUACGUUCGUAUGUAUGUCCUUGCCACUCUCUUGGAACCUGACUCCUACAGAAUGUAACCUUGAUUUGUGCUCCAGGCUCACUUGACACCUGGCUUCUGUGGCUUGUUCGAGUCCUCUGUCUCCCAGACAAUGAGCUAGGAUUCUGGUCAUUCAGGUUCAGCCUGGGUGCAGAGAGUUUUGAGUGGGCCUGUCCACUGGAGACCACUCCUCUCGUCACCCAUGAAGCAUCUAAAGUUAAGUAUGAUGGUGCAGACCUGGAAUCCCAGAAUUCAGGAGGUGGGGGCAGGGAUUUCUAAACUCAGAAGUCAGCCUGAGCUAUCUAGAGAGAUGCUGUUUCAAAAAUUUAAAACAGCCGGGUGUGGUGGCACACGCCUUUAAUCCCAGCACUCGGGAGGCAGAGGUAGGCGGAUUUCUGAGUUCGAGGCCAGCCUGGUCUACAAAGUGAGUUCCAGGACAGCCAGGGAUAUACAGAGAAACCCUGUCUCGAAAAACCAAAAAUAAAAAAUAAAUAAAACAAAACCGAA
rnacentral:lncRNA from 1 species